GGGUCUAGGGGCGGGGCGGCAGGGGCCGAAGGCCGGGAGCUCGAAGCCCCGCUGGUGUCCCCUUCUUGGUCCUGACACCGAGCGCCGGGGAGCUUCCUGCGCUUGCGCACCGGCGCCCUCGUGGCCCAGCAUCCUGUGGUGAAGAAGGCCCGGGCGCCCAGGAAGCGCUUUUCUGGGCGAGGGACGUAUUGAUUCCACACCUGCCAACGGAUAGGUUCUUGCUGAUUUGCCCAGGCUGCUCACAAACGAGAUCCUUUUUCCCUAUCUGCUGGAGCAGCUGGGAUUACAUAUGUGCAGCAGCUUGCCCAGCCCAAGAAUUUCUAAGAGAAAUCAUGAAGGUGAAAAGAAGAGAUGAAAACCAUGAAAACACAUACAACUCCAGGUAAAGGCUUCUUCCUCUUGUAACAUGAGUUUUUAAAGGUUAAUCCUAGCAAGCUGUGGUGGUGCGCAGUUGAGUUCCCAGCAUUCAG